UGCAAGUCGAGCGAACAGAUAAGGAGCUUGCUCCUUUGACGUUAGCGGCGGACGGGUGAGUAACACGUGGGUAACCUACCUAUAAGACUGGGAUAACUUCGGGAAACCGGAGCUAAUACCGGAUAACAUUUGGAACCGCAUGGUUCUAAAGUGAAAGAUGGUUUUGCUAUCACUUAUAGAUGGACCCGCGCCGUAUUAGCUAGUUGGUAAGGUAACGGCUUACCAAGGCGACGAUACGUAGCCGACCUGAGAGGGUGAUCGGCCACACUGGAACUGAGACACGGUCCAGACUCCUACGGGAGGCAGCAGUAGGGAAUCUUCCGCAAUGGGCGAAAGCCUGACGGAGCAACGCCGCGUGAGUGAUGAAGGGUUUCGGCUCGUAAAACUCUGUUAUUAGGGAAGAACAAACGUGUAAGUAACUGUGCACGUCUUGACGGUACCUAAUCAGAAAGCCACGGCUAACUACGUGCCAGCAGCCGCGGUAAUACGUAGGUGGCAAGCGUUAUCCGGAAUUAUUGGGCGUAAAGCGCGCGUAGGCGGUUUCUUAAGUCUGAUGUGAAAGCCCACGGCUCAACCGUGGAGGGUCAUUGGAAACUGGGAAACUUGAGUGCAGAAGAGGAAAGUGGAAUUCCAUGUGUAGCGGUGAAAUGCGCAGAGAUAUGGAGGAACACCAGUGGCGAAGGCGACUUUCUGGUCUGUAACUGACGCUGAUGUGCGAAAGCGUGGGGAUCAAACAGGAUUAGAUACCCUGGUAGUCCACGCCGUAAACGAUGAGUGCUAAGUGUUAGGGGGUUUCCGCCCCUUAGUGCUGCAGCUAACGCAUUAAGCACUCCGCCUGGGGAGUACGACCGCAAGGUUGAAACUCAAAGGAAUUGACGGGGACCCGCACAAGCGGUGGAGCAUGUGGUUUAAUUCGAAGCAACGCGAAGAACCUUACCAAAUCUUGACAUCCUUUGAAAACUCUAGAGAUAGAGCCUUCCCCUUCGGGGGACAAAGUGACAGGUGGUGCAUGGUUGUCGUCAGCUCGUGUCGUGAGAUGUUGGGUUAAGUCCCGCAACGAGCGCAACCCUUAAGCUUAGUUGCCAUCAUUAAGUUGGGCACUCUAGGUUGACUGCCGGUGACAAACCGGAGGAAGGUGGGGAUGACGUCAAAUCAUCAUGCCCCUUAUGAUUUGGGCUACACACGUGCUACAAUGGACAAUACAAAGGGCAGCUAAACCGCGAGGUCAUGCAAAUCCCAUAAAGUUGUUCUCAGUUCGGAUUGUAGUCUGCAACUCGACUACAUGAAGCUGGAAUCGCUAGUAAUCGUAGAUCAGCAUGCUACGGUGAAUACGUUCCCGGGUCUUGUACACACCGCCCGUCACACCACGAGAGUUUGUAACACCCGAAGCCGGUGGAGUAACCAUUUAUGGAGCUAG
rnacentral:rRNA from 1 species